UUCAACAGGGGUGAAAUCUGUAUAUACCAUGAAUUUUUUGAUUAAAGUACCUUUUAGGUGGUCAAAUGACUAGGAUUAGAUACCCUAUUAGUCCACUCUUAAUUAACCUGGGUAGUAGUAUCGAAACCUAAAGAAUUUGGCGGUUUCUAAACCUACUAGAGGAACCUGCCCCAUAAACGACAAUCCACGAAAAAAUUCACCCGGGCUAGUUAUGCAGCUUAUAUACCGUCGUUCAGAGGACUAAAUAAAUAGAUCCUCUUAAAAGCUUAGGCUAAUAAAUCAGAUCAAGGUGUAGCUUAUGCCCGGGAGAGGGUGGGUUACAAUGAAAAUUCAUACGGAACUUCUAUUUUAUGAUAGAAAAGAAGGUGGAUUUAGAAGUAAGACUUAAUAUACUGAAAAAGGCUCUCAGAAAUGUACAC
rnacentral:rRNA from 1 species